rnacentral:lncRNA from 1 species
GCGUUAGAAGAUGUGAAUGGGCAUUCCAAAUGAUCUGCUGGGUACUGUAACUUGAGAGUGAUUGUUUAUAUAUUUAUACACACCCCGGCCCUAAUUAAUUAAUAAUAAGGAAACAAUUACUAAUUGAUGUGUUCAGAAAUUUUUAACUAGAUUCUUGUGGCUGAAUUAGAUCAGAGAAUAUAUAUAUAUAUGAAGAGUUUAAACGUGUUUUUACUAUUAUUCAAUACCAUAUAAUUUUCCAUAGAGACGUAUAUAUAAUUAUUUUAUUAAUUCAUCUGAUCUUCACAAAUGAAAUUAUAUGAUCGAUCAAGAUUUUAUUAAUUCAUGACUAAUAAUGUUGACCCCUACGUACUGCUUGGUCUUCCAAGCUGAUUCAUUCAAGCUUGAAACGUUCUUGAACAGAAGAGAUGUAGCUAGUAGCCUUGUUAUCUAUUCUUACAUCACCAACAACCCCAAAGAACUUAUCAAAUUGGCUUAACUUGUCGUGGCGGUUGUCUGAUGCCGGCACUGUAAAUGAGACCUUCUGCUUUUGCUGGGCAAUUGUAAAGUCCUGGUGGACAACGUAAGCCACUGAAGCAAUUGUUGGGGAAGUCUGGCUUGGCUUAACCUUGCUGCUGUACUGUACAUUUGAGGAAGACUUCGAAGAUGAUCGAUAGAAACGCAUCAACUUGCCCUUCAUGAACCCUCUGCGCUUGCGGUUGGACUCCAUGUUACUUGAAUUUCAGCUUAAGCUAGUAGUAAAUCCAAAUUGUCUGAUUAUUUCAGUGGGAAGAGAGGGUGUAUAUAUAAUAGUGGCAUUGGCUACUUUUUUCUUGUGUUGGAGGGUUACAGAUAGCUAGACAUGAAAAGUCCGGAAUGUGC